ACGCCAUGUUUUUUCUGUAAUUUGUCUGUAUCCACAAGUGAAAUAGUGUCGGCCUUUUACCGCUGUCGAAUUAAUUUUUCGCAUUAUGAACGUGUUGAUUGUGCCUUUUCAUAAUUAAAGGUUUAAGAAAUCUUGAACUUUUUGAUUGUGCAGUAUAUCCCUCGUUUUUUUUCAUACUAUCACGCCGAUAACGUCGUUGCACCAUGACUGCCAAAAAACCCUCGGGUACUCAUUUAAAUGAUCUUCGUGUCAUCGAUCUUAAACUGAGCUAGAAAAAAGGAGUCUGGAAACGAAAGGCGUCAAAAAAGAACUAACCGAAAGGUUGUCCAAGGCAUUAGUCGAUGAAGGCCACAAUCCGGAGGAGUAUCUCUUGAUCUUAAUUCUGAAAAAAAAAAGUCAGCGCCCGCAAAAAGGAUGAGCCAAGCGCUGAUGACAGCUUGUCAGAGAAAGAAGAUAAGGAUGCAAGUAUGACAGAGAAUGGGAUUCAGAAGAUGCAAUCAAAGAAGAAGAGGUAGAAUAAAAAGCUGAUGAACCUGAACCUAAGAUAAGAAAGAGGA
rnacentral:lncRNA from 1 species